rnacentral:lncRNA from 1 species
UGGCUAGCACGUUACAGUUGCUGGGGCAGAGAAGUAUGUUGUAUAACAAACUCUGCCAAAGUAGAGAUUUACGUAAAAACUGAUAGCAAAACUACGGACCCAAUUAGUUGUCGUUUGGUUUGUUUAAUAGUAUAGUCACGUUUGCUACUGUCGGGAUCUUACGAUUGUCUAACUUAUUUCACAUUCUACUUUCUGAAAAGGCACGAAGCUAACCCAGGAUAAUAGCAUUAGCUAGCUAGCUGAAAAAAAUUUACUGUGACCAGCUUACCAAUAACCAUACAAAAUGUUGUUUUCCAUUUCAGUCCUCCUUUUCGCAAGUAGCAUAAUCGUUCAUAUUCUUGUUGAUACCAAAGACAUUACUGCUAAUAUAACUUUCACAAUUCGACUGUUGUUGCUCCAGGGUUGCGUUUCAAAGUUAAAAUGCAGCUUCUUCGGUUACUUCACAUGAUGGAGUACUAGCUACAGGAAGUGAUGUACUCAAAUGUUCGUUUGGUGUGGCUUGCAGUACUGAUUCACAAUCUGUGUACUCAAAGAACGGAGAGCGGAUACUAUUUUCGAGGGGUAGACAGUACAACACAUUUACUGCUUAUUUAUAUAUAGUCAAUACGAUGUAAUAAUAGGAUGACAUUGUGUACCCAAUGACACAAACACUUUACUGUAUAGUCAACGUUCAUUCAUACGCUCUGAAGUAAAACAUAGUUGACUAAGAAAUUACAUUAGAUUAUAAGACGCGUAAUUAAGUUCAGGUUUAUUUAAUCAUAUGUACGAUUGGAUACCCAACUGAAACCCGAGCUACGUUUUCUGGAUGUUGUGUUCUAGAAUCAUUAUCCCAGUUAAAAAUCAAGUAUAAACAGACAGCUGUCAAACACAAAGUACUGGCAUUUUGCCAAACAUCGUGAAGUGUUCUUCAGAAUGUCCCUGCCACCUCACCACCUACCUUUGUUCCACCCCUGGAAGAUCCAGCCCACCCUGGAUGCCAUGGUAUCAGCACUGUGGCAAUGUCUCUGCCCUGGUCAAAAAAUAGUAUCAAACCAUGACCUUGGACCAAUCUUCGGCAAUCUUUGGCAUCCGGAGUUUGCAACCAUGCCCCUCUAUACUAACUACUUCGACCCGGUCACUGACCACCUGCCAAAGAAAUUCCCAUUGGCACAUAAGCUGAACUACAACCUGAAGCUGAAGUGCUUCAACUCCUGGGCAGACGUGGACAGAGAGAGGGAAAGAGGGAAAAAGAGAAAAUGCCACGUCCCCUCUUAUGGAGGACCUCGAAUCAGUGGUGCCUGUCUGUCUCGACUUACUAGGAACGGAGACUCAAGCGAGAGUAGAGGAACCCCCACCAACAGUCAGUUUAUCUAUCAGAUGUAUGGCUACCACUGCAGAUAA